GACGAACGCUGGCGGCGUGCUUAACACAUGCAUGUCGAACGGUGAAGCGCCUUCCUUUUUGGUGGGUGUGGAUGAGUGGCGAACGGGUGAGUAACACGUGAGUAACCUGCCCCCUUCUUCUGGAUAACCGCAUGAAAGUGUGGCUAAUACGGGAUAUUCUGGGUCUGUCGCAUGAUGGGUCUGGGAAAGAUAUUGUUUCGGUGGGGGAUGGGCUCGCGGCCUAUCAGCUUGUUGGUGGGGUGAUGGCCUACCAAGGCGGUGACGGGUAGCCGGCCUGAGAGGGUGGACGGUCUCACUGGGACUGAGACACGGCCCAGACUCCUACGGGAGGCAGCAGUGGGGAAUAUUGCACAAUGGGCGCAAGCCUGAUGCAGCGACGCCGCGUGAGGGAUGGAGGCCUUCGGGUUGUGAACCUCUUUCGCCAGUGAAGCAGGCCUGCCUCGUUUGUGGGUGGGUUGACGGUAGCUGGAUAAGAAGCGCCGGCUAACUACGUG
rnacentral:rRNA from 1 species